UACGUAGGGUGCAAGCGUUGUCCGGAAUUAUUGGGCGUAAAGAGCUCGUAGGCGGUUUGUCGCGUCGGCUGUGAAAACCUGGGGGCUCAACCCCGGGCCUGCAGCCGAUACGGGCAAACUAGAAUUCGGUAGGGGAGACUGGAAUUCCUGGUGUAGCGGUGAAAUGCGCAGAUAUCAGGAGGAACACCGGUGGCGAAGGCGGGUCUCUGGGCCGAUAUUGACGCUGAGGAGCGAAAGCGUGGGGGAGCAAACAGG
rnacentral:rRNA from 1 species